rnacentral:tRNA from 1 species
GCGGUGCUGCGGGACCGGCGGCUCGGGCGGCUGUGGCGGGACCGGGAGCCGGUCGACGUCUUCGAGCCGUUCAACCUGCUGCACCGCA